GACGAACGCUGGCGGCGUGCCUAAUACAUGCAAGUUGAGCGAUGAAGAUUGGUGCUUGCACCAAUUUGAAGAGCAGCGAACGGGUGAGUAACGCGUGGGGAAUCUGCCUUUGAGCGGGGGACAACAUUUGGAAACGAAUGCUAAUACCGCAUAACAACUUUAAACAUAAGUUUUAAGUUUGAAAGAUGCAAUUGCAUCACUCAAAGAUGAUCCCGCGUUGUAUUAGCUAGUUGGUGAGGUAAGGGCUCACCAAGGCGAUGAUACAUAGCCGACCUGAGAGGGGGAUCGGCCACAUUGGGACUGAGACACGGCCCAAACUCCUACGGGAGGCAGCAGUAGGGAAUCUUAGGCAAUGGACGAAAGUCUGACCGAGCAACGCCGCGUGAGUGAAGAAGGUUUUCGGAUCGUAAAACUCUGUUGGUAGAGAAGAACGUUGGUGAGAGUGGAAAGCUCAUCAAGUGACGGUAACUACCCAGAAAGGGACGGCUAACUACGUG
rnacentral:rRNA from 1 species